rnacentral:tRNA from 1 species
GGGCCGGUAACUCAGCGGUUAGAGUGCCAAUCUUAUAAGUUGGAAGUCGAAGGUUCGAAUCCUUCCCGGCCCA